rnacentral:rRNA from 1 species
CAGAUUUGGGAAUGGGCGAAGCCUGACCCAGCGACACCGCGUGGGGGAAGAAGGCCUUCGGGUUGUAAACCCCUUUUCUCGGGGAAGAAUAAUGACGGUACCCGGGGAAUAAGCCUCGGCUAACUACGUGCCAGCAGCCGCGGUAAUACGUAGGAGGCAAGCGUUAUCCGGAUUUACUGGGCGUAAAGCGGGCGUAGGUGGCUUGUCAAGUCGGAUGUGAAAUCUCCCGGCUUAACUGGGAGGGUGCAUCCGAAACUGACGGGCUGGAGUGCACCAGAGGGAGAUGGAAUUCCCGGUGUAGUGGUGAAAUACGUAGAUAUCGGGAAGAACACUAGUGGCGAAAGCGGUCUCCUGGGAUGUAACUGACACUGAGGCCCGAAGGCGUGGGUAGCAAACAGGAUUAGAUACCCUGGUAGUCCACGCAGUAAACGAUGGAUACUAGGUAUGGGGAGUAUCGACCCUUUCCGUGCCGAAGCUAACGCUUUAAGUAUCCCGCCUGGGGACUACGGUCGCAAGACUAAAACUCAAAGGAAUUGACGGA